CACGUAGGGCGCAAGCGUUGUCCGGAAUUAUUGGGCGUAAAGAGCUCGUAGGCGGUCUGUUGCGUCCGCUGUGAAAACUCGGGGCUUAACCCCGAGCCUGCAGUGGAUACGGGCAGACUAGAGGUAGGUAGGGGAGAAUGGAAUUCCGGGUGUAGCGGUGGAAUGCGUAGAGAUCCGGAAGAACACCGGUGGCGAAGGCGGCCUGCUGGGCAGUAGCUGACGCUGAGGCGCGACAGCGUGGGGAGCAAACAGG
rnacentral:rRNA from 1 species